GAUGAACGCUGGCGGCGUGCCUAAUACAUGCAAGUCGAGCGAACAGACGAGGAGCUUGCUCCUCUGACGUUAGCGGCGGACGGGUGAGUAACACGUGGAUAACCUACCUAUAAGACUGGGAUAACUUCGGGAAACCGGAGCUAAUACCGGAUAAUAUAUUGAACCGCAUGGUUCAAUAGUGAAAGACGGUUUUGCUGUCACUUAUAGAUGGAUCCGCGCCGCAUUAGCUAGUUGGUAAGGUAACGGCUUACCAAGGCAACGAUGCGUAGCCGACCUGAGAGGGGGAACGGCCACACUGGAACUGAGACAGGGUCCAGACUCCUGCGGGAGGAAGCAGUAGGGAAUCUUCCGCAAUGGGCGAAAGCCUGACGGAGCAACGCCGCGUGAGUGAUGAAGAUCUUCGGAUCGUAAAACUCUGUUAUUAGGGAAGAACAAAUGUGUAAGUAACUAUGCACGUCUUGACGGUACCUAAUCAGAAAGCCACGGCUAACUACGUG
rnacentral:rRNA from 1 species